AGUGAACGCUGGCGGUAUGCCUAACACAUGCAAGUCGAACGGCAGCACAGUAAGCGCUUUCUCUUACGGGUGGCGAGUGGCGGACGGGUGAGGCAUACAUCGCAAUCUACUUUUUCGUGGGGGACAACGUGGGGCCACUUCCGCUAAUACCGCAUACGACCUACGGGUGAAAGCAGGGGAUCUUCGGACCUUGCGCGACUGAAUGAGCCGAUGCCGGACUAGCUAGUUGGCGGGGUAAAGGCCCACCAAGGCGACGAUCCGUAGCUGGUCUGAGAGGAUGAUCAGCCACACUGGAACUGAGACACGGUCCAGACUCCUACGGGAGGCAGCAGUGGGGAAUAUUGGGCAAUGGGCGCAAGCCUGAUCCAGACAUACCGCGUGAGUGAAGAAGGCCUUCGGGUUGUAAAGCCCUUUUGUUGGGAAAGAAAAGAAGCAGGUUAAUACCCCGCUGUUCUGACGGUACCCAAAGAAUAAGCACCGGCUAACUUCGUG
rnacentral:rRNA from 1 species